rnacentral:tRNA from 1 species
GCUCAUGUAGUUCAGUCGGUAGAACGGCGGACUGUUAAUCCGUAUGUCACAGGUUCGAGCCCUGUCAUGAGCGCCA